ACACACACACUCUGUCUCUCUGUCCCUCUCUCUCCUUGUGCUGUCUCCCUUCAUAGGACAUGGGCAGGGGUGUAGGUGUGCAUCCCCACAGGCUAGGUCUUAUGAGCUAUGAACAAGUAGGGGACCAAAAUCAUGCAGGGUAGCGGGUGCAAGAGUGGAAUGGAUACUCUUGAUGUUGACUAUCUGUUUGAGUGUGUAAUGCUGGCUGAUGCAUGGCUUUUGCAGCUGCGCUGGCAGAGGAAUUGUCCAGGAGCCCUACCCGGAGGAGAGACUCUCAGAAGUGGACCUGAUUACCCUGAACAUCCUUCUAAGCAGACAUGAACAGUCCUCAGCUUUCUCCCUCCUGCAUAACUGGCUUACCAAGAGAAAAGAAGUCACGCGUCAGAGUCUACUGUCCUCACACAAUGGAAAGCGAGCAAGAGCGACGAGACCACAAGCAUUGUUGAUGCGAUGCAAAAGCCGUCCAUCUGUGAGUGGAACCGCCACCACUCUCAGUGAGAUAAGUGUCUGGUUUGGUGGUUGCUCUGCUCACGGCCCACCUCCUGUUUCCAGAGGAAUCAUCCAGGAGCCCUAGAUGGGUGAGAAUAUGCAGAAGCGGACAUGAGCAGCCUGGACAUUCUUCUAAGGAGACAUGAAUAGUCCUCCGCUUCCUGCCUCCCGCUUAACUGGCUGUGAGUAAGAGUACCAAGGGAAAAUAAGUCACGUGCCAGAAUCUACUGCCCUCAUGCGAUGGAAAGCGAAGGAGAGCGAUGACACUGCGAGUAUUGUUGAUGCCACGCAAAAGCCGUCCAACUGGGAGUGGAACAGCUGCCACUCUCAAUGAGAUAAGUGUCUGUUUUGGUGAUUGCUCUGCUCAUGGCCCUCCCUGCUCCUGGUAAGGAUGCCACAUUAGCUGGGGCUGGGUUUGUAAGAAAAUGUUCUUGACUAGCUGUAGUUACGAAGGGCACAAGGUCCCCAUUUUCAGAGGCUGCUCAGUUCUCUGGCCAGGAGCGGCGAGUUCUCUGCAGCAGAAGGUUGGAUCCAGGAGGAUGACUCCAGCUGGUGAGUU